UUGCUAUUUAAACAGAGUUGCUCAGCUGCUUAUGUUCCCCAUUCUUAUUUCUCUAAUUACAAUUUCUUUCAACUUUUACCCCAUUUUCGUUUUUUGGGUUCUUUUUAUUGUUGUUUUAUUUGCUUUCGGUGAAGUUCGAUUUUUGUUCCAUUCCCAAAAAGAGAGAAAAAAAUCACCAGUAUUUCAAAAUAUAAUUUUCCUGACACAACUGUAUUUUAUUACAAAACUUAUUAUUGAUUUUUCAGUUUAUUUUGUAUAUUGCCCAAGUGUUUGCAAUUUUCAUUUGGUUUUAAUUUUCUUAUUUCCAUGAUAAUGUUUUUCUCAUAUUGGACCUGCGAUGUUUAGUUUUGUUUUGUUAACGUCACUUAUAAUCAUGGUAUAUUUACUAUUGCUCUCUGCUACUAUUAUUGUUGUUGUUGUUGUUGCUGUUGUUGUUAUUAUUAUUAUUUCAUGCAAACUCACAGCUGAUUUUGUUGGGUAUGAUAGAAAGUGUCAGCUGUCCAAAGCCGAUAGAUUUAUUUACUGAUCAAGAACCCUGCAAAGAACCCAGCGAAAAUGUCUUACCGUUCCAAGCAAUUAUUAUUAUUAUUAUUAUUAUUAUUAUUAUUAUUAUUAUUAUUAUUAUUAUUAUUAUUAUUAUUAUUAUUAAUAUUAUCAUUAUUAUUAUUAUCAUUAUUAUUAUUAUUAUUAUUAUUAUUUUUAUUAUUAGUAUUAUGUUUAUGUUUAUUAUUAUCAUUAUUAUGUUUAUUACUAUGACGGUGAUCGGUGGACGAUCAGAAAACUUCGUUUUCCAUCUUUAAGUGUUGAAUCACCUGAAGCCCCUGUCGAGAAUUAGGACCGAUACAACUGUGUUUCGCUCCUAUCCGCUGCCAAUAAAUGUGUUGUUUCUCUCCAUGACGUCAGUUUGCUGUCCUUACUUUGAAGACCAUCUUACAUAGUGUACAUAUCUUAAGACGACUAAUUAAUGAUUUAUCAAAAAUUUCAUCUGACCAGGACUAGAGUCAUUUUAGCUAGAACUGUUAUUGUCGAUAUUAACGAAAUCCAGUCAAGUGAUUUCACCAGCUGUUUUAAUAAUUAUGAAAUUGAGACCUAGAGGAAAUACAGCCACUGUGUACAAGAUGAACGGAUACAAUAGUAACUCUGUGAAUAUGAAUUUAAUAGCAAAAAUGUCCAAAGUUUAGAGACCAAUAUACAAAUCGUAGAGUGAAACGCGACAACUAAAUGUUUGCUUGAUCCACAAAUUUAUAUUUCGAGUCUUCUCAAUUAUAGCGGUAACCACAUACACACACAAACAUACACACACACACACACAAACUCACACACACACACGCACACACACACACACACUCACUCACGCUCACACACACACUUACAUAACACAAACACAGAGGAGAAAGAAACUUCCUUGUAUUACGUCCAAACUUUAAUGCCGACAAAAAUAUUCACCUGAGAAUCGCAGGUGCGUGAAACUCGUAUAGCGAGGGUAUGAAGACAUAAAAUAUGUUUGUGCCUGUAUAUAUGUGCAUGCGUGCGUUGUUGUGAGUAUGUGUGUAUGUGUGUGUGUGUGUAUGUGUGUGUGUGUGUGUGUAUGUGUGUGUGUGUGUGUGUGUGUGUGGAACGCAUCAAUGGCUGACACCCUUUUGCUACUGAAAGCUUCAUUCACGUGGAAUGUGUAAAAUCGAAUGAACAGUAGCAGAGGAAUAUCCGCAAAAUAUGACUUCAUUAUUCGAGGCAACUCACGUGGUUCAAUAUGUGGGCGACCCUAUAAGUCUUUGUUUACUGGAGUAUACUACUAAGGUCGAAAGGAAAGAACAUUCCAGAUGCUUGAUCAAUGUCAAUGAGCAGUUACUCCGGGUGCUUGUUGAACUUGCUUCCUUUAGGUUUUGUAUCUGAGGUCCAUAGGUUUUCGAAUGUGUGUAACUGUCUAAAAGAUGAUAAUAACUCGACAGUAUUUCAGCUUUCCGGUCAAGUGAUUUCACCGUCUGUUUUAAUAAUCGGGACUUUUCUGCUAGACACAGCCUGCACUAUUGGGGUAAUGAAAUGAAAUAUGAUAUAACUAUCAUAUUUCGACGUUGCAUCAUGUUAUUGAAAUAGGAUCCUAUUCUUGGCUCUUGAGAUUUUAGAUAAAUAGGAACAUGUAGGUAUCGUUUUCUUUGACGUAAAUGUAUAUAAAUGUAUAUAAAACAUUUGAAUGUUUGCUGUGAAUCUUAGGCAUUUCCAGUCAAUACCGCCCGACUGUUUUCGAUUCUAUAUACAUAUUGCUGCUUUAACUGUUUUGGGAAAUAACAGGCUGUCAGCGAACAUCUCUGACGAUUUCGGGUGUUACAUGUGGGCCACUGUGUGUGUGGAGGGGCUGGAAAUUUAAUUUUACUGUUUGUGAUCUGGAAAGUGAUGUUAUCAAGGCAGGAACUGCAGACUUUAAUGUUAUUGGUGUCGAACAGCUUAUCAUGUAUCCCUAUACACGUGCAUGUGUGCGUAAAUACUCAAAUUACAUAAAUCUGAAUGUAAGUUGAGAAUUAUGCAACAACAUACAGUUUUUAGUGUCAUUACUUUGCUUCGCCGAGCUUCACUUUGAUGCUAUUCCACUGCACCGUGUCAACCUUAACCGAUCAAACUUACGGUAAACGGCGCCUUUCAAAUAAACUGUAAAUACUGAGGACUUCUAUUUGUACAACAGUUUGCUUUACAUUUGUGAGAGGACUUUGUGCCUGAGGUGUAACUGAUGCUGAUGCUGACAAAUCUAACGUUUGAAAUUCAUUGAUGCGCGGUUUCACUGAGCUUUUCUGAGAUAUGCUUUGAGUUCGAUUGUUGAAAACCAACUCGAAGCAAUCUCCUUGGAUAUUGGAGAGACACUCGCGAUGUGAUUCAUUUCCGUUAUCCAGACUCCAGUUAUUUGCUUUUGCUGGGGUCAUAAUAGUUCCUGGAUACAUCCAGGAAUAAUACAAAGUCAAAGACAGAGCAACAAAUAACUGCACGCCAUACGCACACACACACACACAUACACACACGCAUUAUAUGUCUAUAUACAUAUAGGCAUAUAUAUUUAUGAACACAUAUAUACCAUCAUUUAUAUAUGUAUAUAUAAAUAUAUACAUAUAUAUAUAUAUAUAUAUAUAUAUAUAUAUAUAUAUAUAUAUAUAGGGAGAGAGAGAGAGAGAGAGAGAGAUAUACAUAGAUAGAUAGACAAAGAGAUAGACAGACAUACAUAAUACAACUUGCAGGUGUAUUACUUUGACGCUCGGGGAAGUGAAAGAGUUUAUAUAUAUAUAUCGGAAAAGUCUUAUAUAUAUAUAUAUAUAUAUAUCGUUAACUGUUAUCUCUUUUAAAUUUCAUAAGUGCAAAUUCUAAAAUCUUUCGAUGAAGUCAUUCAGCUGGUGAACAUAAUUAACAUCAGUUAUUUAAACUUUAUUUUUGACUUGUACAUAUGAAAUUAUUUGACUUAAAAGCUGUGGUUAGCUGUCUGUGUGCGUGCCUAUAUAGCUAUGUACCUAUUCAGUCAGUAUAUGUCACUCUACGCAUGCGUACGCACAGAUGUGUGGGUAAACUUAAAACAGACAAUACUCUAUAUUGUAAAGAUGUUUGUAAAGAAUUUAUGCGAAAGACCAACAACAUCUAAGCUUCUUGCAAGAGACGGCACGAUAUUUUCGAAACUCUCUUGCUUAAAAUUCUUUACGAAUGACAUAAAUUCCAUUCAGCUUGGAGGCGCUAAUCAGGAACAUUAAAGAUUUCUUUUGGUCAAUCCGCAGCGCCAGUCUCCAGCCAUACAAUACCGAUUUAUGGCCGACAUAUUUUAUACUUAUCCUCUGUUAUUGCUAUUGUGUUAUCAAGGAAGCGUAAGUACUUGUAAAACUUAUUAAGCUGUGUCCAACUUCAACCUGUGAAUACGUGUAUACACCUCACAAACCACAUCAGGUCUGCUUAACAUUUUAAAUACAUUUCUUGUAAUUUAUAUAUUAACUCUAAUGGAGACUUGCUGGAGAAAAUCUUUGUUAUUACAAUGAAAUUCUAAGCUGUUCUCCACAUAUCUCUUUAAAUAUUCUCAUAAAUAUUGGAUUAUAUGGAAGUCGCAUUUAAAGCAAAUUUCGUCCAACGAAUAUUGCUAUAGACUCAAAGAAUGGCGUUAUAAUCUAAUUGGACAUAUUUUCAUUCAAUAUUCUUGCAGUUAGGAAGUAAACAUACAUUGUGAUGUGUGUGUGUGCGUCUGUGGUGUAUGUAUGUAUAUGUAUGUAUUCGUGUAUGUAUGUUGUCGAAUGUUGUAUAUGUACAUAUACGUAUAUAUGUAUGUAUAUAUGUAUGUAUGUAUAUAUAUAUAUAUAUAUAUAUAUAUAUAUAUAUAUAUAUAUAUAUAUGUAUAUAUAUAUGUAUUCACAUAUACAUAUAUAUAUAUGUCUGUAUAUAUGUGUUUGUGUGUGCAUGUUCAUAUAUGUAUAAUGUAUAUGCAAAUAUAUAUUAAUAUACAUAAAUACAUAUAAUUAUGGUGGCGAUGGUGUUGGCGCAUGUAGUGAUGGAGGCUGGCGGAGUAAGCGGCGUCGGCAGUGGUGGAGGCGAUGGUGGGGGUAGUGGCGGUAGCGGUGGUGGUGGUGCUGUUGGUGGCAGUGGAAUGAGGUGACGUUAGCAGUUUGUGUUUAUAUGAUCGGUCAUAACGAACGUCAACGAUGUGAGACCGCCUAGCAAGCCUCUCCGACUGAGCCAGACAUAACAUAUCUAAAUGCAAUGGAAACAUAUCUGAAUAUAUAGUUGGUAUUAAUAUGCAAAUAUAUUUAGCUAUCAUAUCGUAUUUAUCGUUAUUCGUAGUUACUUUGUGAGUUAGUAAUGCAUCUGUUGAUUUAUUUAAUAUAAUCGUUAACGAGUAUUUUGUGUAUAUAUAUAUAUAUAUAUGCACACGCGUGUGUGUGAGUGUGUGUAUUUUUGUGCGGAUAGAUAUAGAUAUGCAUGCGUGUAUCAUAUACAUAUCUAUACAUAUAUACGUGUGUGCCUGUGCUUAUAGUGGGUGACAAGAUGCUAAUAUAAGCGUCCGAUAGACACGGAGUGAAUAUUCAGAGUAGUCAGAUUACUGAAUUCGAAAUUCUCCCGCAGCGAAAGGCAAAUACUGGAUAUGAUAAAUACAGAGCUCGGGCGACUAGAAAAGACACAGGAAAUGGACACACUAUAAUGGAUAACGGCAAGCCAUUUGAUAAGAGUUAUAACAUAUAUAUGUGUGGGUGUAGGUGUGUGUGCGCGUGUGUGUAAGUUGCAUACAUAUCUUUACAGCUGUUUCAAUGAUUCGGUGUCUGGUUGAUGCUAAAAGGCAUUUUAUGGAAACAAGAAUGCGCUUAGCGGUAUUUCGUUCGGUUUUAAUUUCCGAGUUCGAUUUUGCGUUUUGUCCUUUGAGUGUCGGUGAAAAAAUGUACCAGAUGACCACUGGGGCCGAGGUAAUCGGGCUUACAUCAACCCACGAAAUUUCUUGUGCAAAUAAAUUGAGACUAGUGAGUAUACAAAGAAAAAAAGUAAACAUAUAAUCAACUAGCAUGGUUUCAUAAUACAUGAUGUGUGUGUGUCUGUGUACCUGCGCAAUAUGGCCGUAUGGUCAAGCGGUUCACUUUACGCGAUUGAUAUAUUUGUUUCGAUUCUGUUGCGUCAAGCUGAAUCUCCAUAAAACAUACAGAAUAAGGGUAUACAUACCCGGCCUACACUCUGCCACUGACGUGCUAAUUCAAUGAACUUGGUAGUUUAGUUGAUCAAUCGGAUUUAGUUGAUGAUCGGAUCUUCUGGGAUUAUGAGCGAAAUCCUUUAUUUUUAUAUGUACAACCAUACAGCCGAAUGGUUAGAGACUCCCUUCGCAUUCAAGAAGCACCAGGAUCAAUCCCAGUACGAUGCGCCUUGAGUGUGCAUCUUUUACAAUAGACUCGGUUUUGGCACAAAGCUGGGAAUUCGGAAACAGUAGUGAAGCCCGUAGAAAAGUUUGCCUCUGCAAUUAAGAGCUCCGGCAGUUCUGCAAGCUGUAAGAUGUGUCUUCUGCUUGGGAAUUAACUGGAGAACUAACCUUAGGAGGGGAGGGGAGAAGAAGGAGGAGGGGAAGCGUAAAUAAAAGGAAGGAAAAUUACAAUUCUUUACAAAUUUUGGCAGGUUUCAAUGAAGUAGCAUAUACUGGCACCGGAAAAUUAUGGAUGUGGAGAGACUUGGCCUACGUGAUCCACGUAAUGAACAAUAUAAAUGAAGAAUAGCGAGAAGAAGGAACGUCUUCCGCUUAUUUUGACUGGAAAUAAAAAAUAUUAUAUAUUUAAAGCUAUUUUUGCCUUUUAUGUUUCGAUUACCCCAUUAUGAAAUGAACAAUAUUGGCGAUCUGUAGUUUCUCAAAGUUUAUAACUGUCACGGUUCACGGUUGCGCUGUGUGGAACCCUCCACUUACACACACACACACAAACAAACACAUACACACAUAUAUAUAUAUAUACAUAUAUAUAUAUAUAUAUAUAUAUAUAUAUAUAUAUAUAUUCAAAAAUUGAAAGACCGUUGCCCAUUUUCUUCCUGUGUCUUCCCUUCUCUUGGACUUUCCUCUGUUUCAGACGAAGAGCGUAUGCUCGAAAUGUUAAACCAUCUUUCCUUUCCGGAGCGUCUGCUAAUACAUUACGUGUACCACGUCCUCACGUUGUUGUUUUCUUUUUGUAUUUGUUCUUUUUGGAUUUAUUAUGUGUAUGUAUAUAUAUAUAUAUAUAUAUAUAUAUAAACAUACGCAUUUAUAUUUAUACUUCUGUGUGUGAAUGUGUAUGUGUCACAAGGUAUAUGAAAAUAAAGUGCGUUUAAAGUGUAACAUGAGUAAAGACGAACAGUAUGACAUCAUAGUAUGACUUGAGGAAGCGGUGGGAUUUCGACUGACGAGAUAACGGAUUCUAAAAACUCUGCAGAGCGUAACAAAAUUAUGCAAAUAUAUGUGUACGUGCAUGUGCGCGUGUUUCUGUGUGUAUGUAUGAGUGCAUAUAUUUAACUGUAAGAGUAUGCAUGUAUGUAUAUAUAUAUAUAUAUAUAUAUGCAUACUCUUACAGUUAAAUAUAUGCACUCAUACAUACACACAUAUGUAUGUGUGUGUAUGUAUAAUAUAUAAUAUAUAGAUAAAGAUAUGUAUAUAUAUAUAUAUAUGUGUGUGUGUGUGUGUGUGUGUGUGUGUGUGUGUAUGUGUGUGUAUAUAUAUAUACAGACAGACAGAUAGAAAGAGAGGAAGAAAGCGAGGGAAGGAUGGAAAUAUUUGUGUGUGUAUAGCUUGCACGUUAUAUGUGUAUGCAUGGGUGAAUGUGUAGUCUUUUAUUCUUUCACUUGUUUCAGUCUUUUAACUGCGGCCAUGCUGGAGCAUCGCCUUAUGAGUGAAAUUUGUUUGAAGUGUAGCGUAACCAAUUUCAUUACAGGAAAGUGAUAGUUUGUCGAAAUCUAUAAAAAAAAAUAUUCAAAAUAUUCAAAGCAAUAAAGAAUUAUUGCACAAGUUUUAUGUAUGUUUUUAAUAUUUAUGAUUAUGGCUUACACACACACACACACCUAUAUAUAUAUAUAUAUACAUAUAUUCAUAUUUAUAUAUAUAUAUAUAUAUAUUUGUCUUUGUAGAUAAAUAGCUUUAUGAAUAUCAAAGUGUUGCAUACCAAUCAGGAAUUCUCUCUAUAUAUAUAGAUAUAAUAUACCCAUGUAAAAUUGUGUGUCCGAAUUUGCUAGUGAACAUGUGUGUAUGAGCUUUUAUGGUCUUUUAUGUGUGUCUGUGUAUCUAUAUAUGCGGGACCGUAUGUGUACGAGUAAAUAUGUUUGCAGAGGUAUGUGUGAGUACCGUUAUGAGUGAAGCCGGUAGGGAUAUUGUACCCAUUUAGAUUUAGGUUGCCCUAUUCAUCUUAAACACAAACGAACGGUAUUUAAAUUUAUCUAACAUUGAGUCCAUAUAUUUACACACACACACACACACACACAAACUCAUAUAUAUAAACAUAUGCAUAUAUGUAUAUAUAUAUAUAUAUAUAUAUAUAUAUAUAUAUAUAUAUAUAUAUAUAUAUAUAUAUAUAUAUAUAUAUGUAGGCACAGGCGUGGCUGUGUGGUAAGGAGCUUACUUCCCAACCACAUGGUACCGGGUUCAGUCCCACUGCCUGGCAUCUUGAGCUAGUGAUGUCUACUAUAGCCUCGGGCCGCCCAAAGCCUUGUGUGUGAAUUUGGUAAACGUAAAUAUGUAGUACACAUAUAUUUAUAUAUAUAUAUAUAUUUAUACAUAUAUAUAUGUGUGUAUAUAUAUAUGUAUGCUUGACAGCUAAAUCCACAAGUUUCUUUUUAUAUUAUUCUCUCUCUGUUUAUUUUCUGUUAUUCCUUUCUGCUGAAGUGCUUAGGCUCGAAAUAUAAAAGUAUUUUUCACUUUCUCAAGCGUCAAACUAAUACAACUGCUUGUUGUUCAUACCCCUGUCUCCUUCGUCUUUUGUAUUUCUAGAAAUUCCAGUCAUAUAUAUAAAUGCCGCAGAGCAAGAGGUAUUCUUGUUAUGAGUUUGAGGCGACUAUUAAUCAGCGUAUAAAGAAAAAAAAGAACUGGGAGAAUAUACCAUCUAAAUUUAUCGAAAACACAUCAAAAUAUGAUGAGACAUUAGACACAUUGAAUUCAAUAAAUUAAAAGGAAACAAAACAUAUUAGGAAAUACAAAUGGCAUUAUUCUAUUGUGAUAUGUAGAAUACGUAAUAAAUGGGGCAAUCGUUUGUGUAUUCAGGUCGUCUUAUGAGAAAACUUAUUAUAUUUGUUCAUCUUUUAGGGAUAAAGAGGGAGGAAUGAAGAAGGAAAGCUGGAGCAAUGAGUCCUGCGAAACAUAGUUUGGGGAUUCAUGAAGCUUCAAUUCCGGAUGAAAUAUAAAAUUACUAAUACUAUGUAUUGAGUACUAUAUUCUUUUUCGUUUGUAACACAUUUAUCAGCCCGUAUACAUGUGUGUAUGUAUGUGUAUAUAUGCAUCCGUGUGUGUGUGUCUGUGUGCGUGUGUCUGUCUGUGCCUGUGUGCACAUAUAUUGGUAUAGAAAGAGAUAAUGGAUAGAUAAGCAAUAUAUGUGUGUGUGUGUGUGUGUAUGUGUGUGUGACUGUCUGUGUCUGUGUGGCUGUGUGUAUGACUGCAAGUAGUAUACAUACAUACAUACAUAUGUGUGUGUGUGUGUGUGUGUGUGUGUGUGUGUGUGUGUGUGUGUGUGUGUGUGUGUGUGUGUGUGUGUGUGUGUGUGUGUGUAGGUAUGUAUGUAUGUAUGUAUGUAUGUGCAUAUGAAUACAUACGUAUGUAUGUAUGUAUGUAUGUAUGUAUGUAUGUAUACAUGCUUUUAUGAAUUUUGCAGUUUUGGUUCUUUUGUCUUACUGACCUAUCUGGUUCUUCUCGUUCUCUGAAAUGUGAUUCUUAACUCCUGAAUGUCUCACACUUUUUUUACUUACGAUGGUAAGAGAUAUUCUUUAGAAGUAGAUCUUCCUAUAAUUAAUAAUUCAAAAUGGAAAAUGAAAACCAUUAUGGCUCACGAAGAAUGCUAGGUAAGAAAUAUCUGACAUGUCACAUAUAUGUAUUCAGAUGAUGGGAAGAGAUGUCAACAUGUAAAAAAUUAAAACAUGCCGCCAUUAAAUUGUUGCAAGUUUUAGCACGACUCCAGGGAAGAUUUUUAUUGAGAUUCAAUAAUAUAAGGGUACAUGGAGAUUACAAGCUGUACAGAAUCGAAAACACACGCGCAUACACAAUGGCAGACACACAAGAAAACAUUAUUUUUGAUACUUUCAUGAAGUUUGAGGAAAUAUAGUUAGUUGGCGUGUCUGUCUGAAUCUACCGAAUAUACAUACACACACAAACGCACACACACACUUAUAUAUAUAUAUAUAUAUAUAUAUAUAUAUAUAUAUAUAUAUAUAUAUGUGUGUGUGUGUGUGUGUGUGUGUGUGUGUGUGUGUGUGUGUAUGUGUGUAUUUUUGGCAUAUGCUUAUUUAUAUACAUGUAUAUAUUAUAUACAUGCAUACAAAUAAACUUAUAUAGGCAUAGAUACACUGCAUAUUUUCAUAGAUUUAAAAUGAAGGAAUGUUUCUGAUAUCUAUAUACUUAUGCUGCAAUGGAUACAGGUAUGUGUGUUUGUGUGUGUGUGUGUAUUUUUGUAUUUCAUUAUGUGUGUGUGUGCGCGUGUGUGUUUCUGUACUUGUCUGUGUGUCUGUGUGUUUUAAACGCUAGUAUCCAUCACUGUUAAUACAUUGGGAGCAGACAUUGGUAUCCAGCUGUACUGAACUAUCAUUCAACAAUUCGAAUAUCUCUAACAUAUAAGAAUUGCUUCUUUAUUCCAUUAGAAUUUCCGAUAUUGUAUAAUGGUUAUGUGGUAGUGCAAUGACGAAUAAAUCCUCGUAUAUCCUCUUUGAGUCAGAGGAUUUUUUUUUCGUUUUUUGAGAUUAGUAAAAAUAAGAAAUCUUUAAUAACUUGUUAUGUGGUAGUGCAUGCGGAGAGCUAAGGUGUUACAAUUUCGAAGAUGAAGAAUGGGAGUAAUUUACAUACGAUUUAACGUCACUGAUGUGAAUUGGGUUAUUAGUAGUAGAUGAUAAACUGUAGUCUGCUUUUGUAUAUUGGAAAUAUAAUUAGUUGAGACCAAGAAACAAGUAAUGUUUGUAUUUUGAUAUGAUUUCAUUAGUUACUGCCAAGAAUUUUGAAGGCGCAGUGGUUAGAGCGCCGGGUUCACAAUCGUGUGUGUGUUGUGGUCUUGAACAAGACACUUUAUUUCACCUUCUUCUGUUCCAUUUCACUCAGUUGUAGAAAUGUGUUGCGACGUCACUGGUGCCAAGCUGUAUCGGCCCCUUUGCCUUUCCCUUGAAUAACAUCGGUGACGUGGAGAGGGGUGAUUGGUAUGCAUGGACGACUGUUGCUCUUCCGUAAACAACCUUUCCUGGACUUGUGCCUCGUAGGGGGAGUUUCUAUGUGUAAUCUCAUAGUCAUUCAUGACAGUAUAUAAGGUAGAAGAAUUGACAGUAUAUAAGGUAGAAAUUAUAUAGAUUAGGAAUAUCUUUUAUUAGGUUAAAUCCCCAAAUGUCUAUAGUUGUAUAUUGAACUGCUAGAUAAGUAGAUAUUUAUCUUAGUGGUGAUAUUUGGUAAAGAGCUCUAAACUAACAAUUCGAUAGUCUGCUAAUUUGUAUUCUAUAUACAAUCAAUGUAUUCUAGUAAUUCACUGUAGUUUAUAAUGAUUUUUUACUGGUACCACAUAAUUAUAAUAAUUACCUUUCUAGAUUUACGAUUUUAUAAGUUUAUUAACAAUGUUUUAACUAACACAAGGUAAACAACUCGUUGACAAGAGUAUAUAUCAUGAGUUAUUUCAUUUAACAAAUUUUCCAUCUCAUGAUACAAUAUCAGAAGAUAUUGUAUCUUCUGUAUAUCUUCUGAUAUUCUCUACAAAAUAUCAGAGAAUAUCAGCAAUUCAUGUAGAGAAUAUCAGCAAUUCAUGUAUGUCGCAGACACUCGCGUAAGAGUUCGAGCUUUUAAUAGCCUGAUGAUUGAUAUAUCUGGAUAUGUUACACCGAGUAAAGAUCUCUUAUCAAUAACGGACUAUAUCAUUCAGGAUAACUCAACUUACUCUGAUAGUGUUCAUGUAAACAGCCAUAAAUUAUAUAAAUGAUCGGAUUGAUCUAUAUGCGUAUGCCAGCUUGUAAAUGUAUGUGCCUGAGUGCAUAUAUAUGUGUGUGUAUGUACGUAUGUAUGUACGUAUGUAUGUACGUAUGUAUGUACGUAUGUAUGUACGUAUGUAUGUACGUAUGUAUGUACGUAUGUACGUGUGUAUGUAUGAGUGUGUGUAUCUAUAUGUAUGUAUAUAUCUAUGUAUGUGUGUAUUUGUGUGGGUGCUUAUACACGGAUGUACGCGCCGUUUAACUAUAUUUUAACCAUACCAAUAACUGAUGUGAUAGAUCUCUCUACACUAAAACGUUUGCUUUAUGACAGAUUUUACUCCUACUUUAUCUGUGAUCAUAUUUGAUGUAGUGUUUGCUUUUGGUUACUUUUAAAUUCUAUUUUCCCCAUUUAUUGUCAAAAUAUAUAACAGCAACAAACAACCACAAGGUUUAUUGUUAGAAGCGAAAGGAAAAAUUGCAUAAAAAAAGUUACGAAAACGUAUUUGUGGGGAGAAUUUUUAUAUUAUCUUUAAUGUAUAACAAUACAGCAAAAAGAAAUACCCAUAAAGCCGAAAUAAAAACAAACAAUUAUAUAUUAAAAAAGCAU
rnacentral:lncRNA from 1 species